UCACAGAUAGCACACAUAAGGCAGGGGAGUGCUACAGCCCUGGGUGAACGGCAAAUUGCCCAUGUCCUGAAAUGUCUGGUUCGGUGCCCAGCUGCCACUGACACCACAAGAUUAAUGUAAGGAUCUUGUCAAGAAUUUUGGUCUUGUUAUUAUCCGAGUUGACUGGCAUAUGGUGAAGGAGUGUUGCACUCUUCCGUUAUUCCCAACUGAGUUUGAGACAUUUUUAUGACUGCUUGUUGGGUCAGAUAAUGGAGAGCCACCAGUGUCAUUGUGAAUCACAAAUUGCUAAAGGGUUUCAUCCUCCACAAGCCGAGAGGAGUCUACCUUAGGUCUUUGUGAUGCAAAUUUACCGGAUGGAUAUCUCUUGGCAGUCACUGCUACCAGAAGCAAAGAAGAAUGCAGUCAGGACUCACAAAGUAGUUAUACAAUCCAUAGGAGGAUAGCACUAUUUUAUACAUGGACCACUACUUGACUGCAAGGACACUGGAAAGCCCAGCACACUGAAAGGAACCACAGGAGGCUUCCCAUCUUAGUCAAGCAUUUAUGAACACAAGGGGUACUCGUUAAAGAUUUUCCAUUAAAUGUUUCAAGUCC